rnacentral:rRNA from 1 species
GACAGAGGGUGCAACCGUUGCUCGGAAUUACUGGGCGUAAAGCGCGUGUAGGUGGUCACCCCAGUCGGAUGUGAAAGCCCAGGGCUCAACCCUGGACGUGCAUACGAUACUAGGUGGCUGGAGUCUCGGAGAGGAUAGCGGAAUUCCCGGUGUAGAGGUGAAAUUCGUAGAUAUCGGGAGGAACACCAGUGGCGAAGGCGGCUAUCUGGACGAGUACUGACACUGAGACGCGAAAGCAUGGGGAGCAAACAGG